AGAGUUUGAUCCUGGCUCAGGAUGAACGCUAGCGGCAGGCCUAAUACAUGCAAGUCGAACGGCAGCGGGUCCUUCGGGAUGCCGGCGAGUGGCGGACGGGUGCGUAACGCGUAUGCAACCUACCCAUCACAGGGGGAUAGCCCGGGGAAACUCGGAUUAAUACCCCAUAAAGCAGGGGUUUCUCAUGGAACUAUUUGCUAAAGAUUUAUCGGUGAUGGAUGGGCAUGCGUCUGAUUAGCUAGUUGGUGAGGUAAAGGCUCACCAAGGCGACGAUCAGUAGGGGGUCUGAGAGGAUGAUCCCCCACACUGGCACUGAGAUACGGGCCAGACUCCUACGGGAGGCAGCAGUAGGGAAUAUUGGUCAAUGGACGAGAGUCUGAACCAGCCAUGCCGCGUGCAGGAAGACGGCCUUCUGGGUUGUAAACUGCUUUUCUACGGGAAUAAAAAGGUUCUGCGGGACAAAUUGCAUGUACCGUAGGAAUAAGCACCGGCUAACUCCGUGCCAGCAGCCGCGGUAAUACGGAGGGUGCAAGCGUUGUCCGGAUUUAUUGGGUUUAAAGGGUGCGUAGGCGGAUAAUUAAGUCAGGGGUGAAAGGCAGUGGCUCAACCAUUGAAUUGCCUUUGAUACUGGUUAUCUUGAGUUCAGUUGAGGUGGGCGGAAUUUAUGGUGUAGCGGUGAAAUGCA
rnacentral:rRNA from 1 species